rnacentral:rRNA from 1 species
UACGUAGGGGGCAAGCGUUGUCCGGAAUUAUUGGGCGUAAAGAGCGCGUAGGCGGUCCGAUAAGUCGGCUGUGAAAGUCAAGGGCUCAACCCUUGAAAGCCGGCCGAUACUGUCGGACUAGAGUCCGGAAGAGGCGAGUGGAAUUCCCGGUGUAGCGGUGAAAUGCGUAGAUAUCGGAAGGAACACCAGUGGCGAAAGCGGCUUCCUGGUCCAGCACCGACGUUCAGGCACGAAAGCGUGGGGAGCAAACAGG